AUUGAACGCUGGCGGCAGGCCUAACACAUGCAAGUCGAGCGGAUGAAGGGAGCUUGCUCCUGGAUUCAGCGGCGGACGGGUGAGUAAUGCCUAGGAAUCUGCCUGGUAGUGGGGGAUAACGUCCGGAAACGGGCGCUAAUACCGCAUACGUCCUGAGGGAGAAAGUGGGGGAUCUUCGGACCUCACGCUAUCAGAUGGGCCUAGGUCGGAUUAGCUAGUUGGUGGGGUAAAGGCCUACCAAGGCGACGAUCCGUAACUGGUCUGAGAGGAUGAUCAGUCACACUGGAACUGAGACACGGUCCAGACUCCUACGGGAGGCAGCAGUGGGGAAUGUUGGACAAUGGGCGAAAGCCUGAUCCAGCCAUGCCGCGUGUGUGAAGAAGGUCUUCGGAUUGUAAAGCACUUUAAGUUGGGAGGAAGGGCAGUAAGUUAAUACCUUGCUGUUUUGACGUUACCAACAGAAUAAGCACCGGCUAACUUCGUG
rnacentral:rRNA from 1 species